rnacentral:rRNA from 1 species
AUUGAACGCUGGCGGCAGGCCUAACACAUGCAAGUCGAACGAGUGGCGGACGGGUGAGUAAGGUCUGGGAAAGUGCCUGAUGGAGGGGGAUAACUACUGGAACCGGUAGCUAAUACCGCAUACCAUCGGAUGUGCCCAGGUGGGAUUAGCUAGUUGGUGGGGUAACGGCUCACCUAGGCGACGAUCCCUAGCUGGUCUGAGAGGAUGACCAGCCACACUGGAACUGAGACACGGUCCAGCCUCCUACGGGAGGCAGCAGUGGGGAAUAUUGCACAAUGGGCGCAAGCCUGAUGCAGCCAUGCCGCGUGAGUGAAGAAGGUCUUCGGAUUGUAAAGUACUUUCAGCGGGGAGGCGUUACUCGCAGAGGAAGCACCGGCUAACUCCGUGCCAGCCGCCGCGGUAAUAC